UGGGUCUGGGGAUAUCUCCGGGGGUUGGCAGCAGCCUCGGACCAUCUCUGAUCACAAAGGCAAACAAUGUGGAGAGGAGGGGCCUUCGUGUCUGCCCCUUGACUGGCUACGGAAGAGGUUGCGGAGCAGCACCCCACUACUUCUUCUGCCUCUUGUCUGUACCCACUCCUGAGGAACCAAUACUUGGGGAUUCCAGAGACUGAAGAAACAGUAGGAGAUAACCUGACUGAGCCUAUGCAGCAAGCUGACAUCAGAAGGGGAGUCCAACCAAGGCAGCACCCUGAACAUGAACAGCCAGACACAGACGCUUCAAAGGGGAUACCAAGAGAUUCUCAAUUCCCCCUCUCUGGGAAUUAACCCAUCCAAAGAAGAAAAACAAACAAAAAAACUAGCAUUGGAGACUCUUCAAGGAAGCAGCCCAACCAGGUCACUCUAAAUAAAAAACCCAAGUAAACAAAGCCAAUUUAUG